rnacentral:rRNA from 1 species
CCUACGGGAGGCAGCAGUGGGGAAUCUUGCACAAUGGGGGAAACCCUGAUGCAGCGACGCCGCGUGAGCAAUGAAGCCCUUCGGGGUGUAAAGCUCUUUCGGCAGGGACGAUCAUGACGGUACCUGCAGAAGCAGCUGCGGCUAACUACGUGCCAGCAGCCGCGGUAAUACGUAGGCAGCGAGCGUUGUUCGGAGUUACUGGGCGUAAAGGGUGUGUAGGCGGUUGCUUAAGUUUGGUGUGAAAUCUCCCGGCUCAACUGGGAGGGUGCGCCGAAUACUGAGUGACUCGAGUGCGGGAGAGGAGAGUGGAAUUCCUGGUGUAGCGGUGAAAUGCGCAGAUAUCAGGAGGAACACCGGCGGUGUAGACGGCUCUCUGGACCGUAGCUGACGCUGAGACACGAAAGCGUGGGUAGCAAACAGGAUUAGAUACCCUGGUAGUCCACGCCCUAAACGAUGCAUAUUUGGUGUGGGUCAUUCAGUUGAUCCGUGCCGGAGCUAACGCGUUAAAUAUGCCGCCUGGGGAGUACAGUCGCAAGGCUGAAACUCAAAGGAAUUGACGG